rnacentral:rRNA from 1 species
UACAGAGGUCUCAAGCGUUGUUCGGAUUCAUUGGGCGUAAAGGGUGCGUAGGCGGCGCGGUAAGUCGGGUGUGAAAUCUCGGAGCUUAACUUCGAAACUGCAUUCGAUACUGCCGUGCUUGAGGACUGGAGAGGAGACUGGAAUUUACGGUGUAGCGGUGAAAUGCGUAGAUAUCUGGAGGAACACCGGUGGCGAAGGCGGCAUCCUGGACCAAUACUGACGCUGAGGAGCGAAAGCCAGGGGAGCAAACGGG